UACGUAGGGGGCAAGCGUUGUCCGGAUUUAUUGGGCGUAAAGAGCGUGUAGGCGGCCAGGUAGGUCCGCUGUGAAAACUCGAGGCUCAACCUCGAGAUGUCGGCGGAAACCAUCUGGCUAGAGUCCGGAAGAGGAGAAUGGAAUUCCCGGUGUAGCGGUGAAAUGCGCAGAUAUCGGGAGGAACACCAAUGGCGAAGGCGGCUCCCUGGGCCAUUCCUGACGCUGAGAUGCGAAAGCUAGGGGAGCGAACAGGAUUAGAUACCCUUGUAGU
rnacentral:rRNA from 1 species